AGCAGUCGCCGCGGUAAUACGUAGGUCCCGAGCGUUGUCCGGAUUUAUUGGGCGUAAAGGGAGCGCAGGCGGUUUAGUAAGUCUGAAGUUAAAGGCAUUGGCUCAACCAAUGUAUGCUUUGGAAACUGUUAGACUUGAGUGCAGAAGGGGAGAGUGGAAUUCCAUGUGUAGCGGUGAAAUGCGUAGAUAUAUGGAGGAACACCGGUGGCGAAAGCGGCUCUCUGGUCUGUCACUGACGCUGAGGCUCGAAAGCGUGGGUAGCGAACAGGAUUAGAUACCCGAGUAGUCCCUGUCUCUUAUACA
rnacentral:rRNA from 1 species